rnacentral:rRNA from 1 species
GUAGCAAGAUAAGUUGGCUUGAUUGUGGGGAAAACUCCACAGUUAAGCAUGCUUGAGCCAGAGGCGUUUUGGGAUGUGUGAUCACCUGGAAAGUCCUGGUUACUGGGUGCA